rnacentral:pre_miRNA from 1 species
AGCCUUCUGUAUCCGUGCUGAGAUUUCGUCACACACCAGACCACAAAAACUGAUCAAACUUCCAAGUGAAGCG